AUAAGGAUGAUUCCACAAGUGACAAAGGAGAAAGCAAAGUCUAGACAAGGAGAAAGAAGAUAAAUAGAAAAGAAUGGAAGGAGAACAAGAAAGAAGAACAAAGAGAUGGGGCAAAAGCAAGAUAAGAAGCAAAUACCCACAGGAAUAUGUGAAGAAUCCCAGACCUUCAAUCAAGCAGAAAUUCAUCUAUGCAAGUUAUUCACUGGUUACUGGGUUAUUGGCACAUUCCUUAGGUAGACAAGUCAAAGGUUCUUAGUGACAGGAAUAUUUAUUUCUGAAACAUGGACCCAUGGGAGACCAGGACCCAUGAGUUCAGAGUGCCUGGAGAACUUUUUGUGUAUAACACUGA
rnacentral:lncRNA from 1 species